CCGCUUGUGUGCGCGGCUGUGGCCGGUCGAGGCCCGACCACCUGCUCCGAGGACUGUGUUUCUUGCUGACACCAAACGCCCGGCAGGGGGUGGAAUGAAAAGGACAAAUAAAUUAACUGUAAAGAAAAAACAACCCUUCCCGCAUUCUGCCACCUACAACGGCCUCUCCAUUCCCAAGCGUUCUCUCAGGGCCACCACCAGGCCCAGAAACCGCCGGAAGGGGGAAGGGACGUGGAUAAGAGCUAGAGAGUGUUGGUCUCCCUUUGGAGCUGAUUUGACCUCACUCCCCUUCUGGCAAAGCUUUUAUUUGCAUUUCCCUUGUGCACCCAACAGCUCACUCCCUAGGGACAGGUACUGUCAACAGUUCAGUGUGGAAUAAAGGAACGUAGUUGCUUCUUUCCUGAACAUGACCAAGAAAAGGAUUCCAAAGAACAUGGUCUGAAGGAAAACAGACCACAGAGCUUACAAGGAUCUCUGCUUGCUGAGUUGUAAGAUUCGUCUGUGGAGCAACUCACUGAUGCCUGACUUCUGCUAUCUGUUUUGGAAGAAAAGCCUAAGAUUAGUCCACAGUCCAUCUAAAGGAACUCUCCAGAAGGGAAAAAGACACCAGGAUUGAAACUCUAAUAGGGGAUAUAAGGAUUUUCUUUUAUUUACCAAAGAACAAAAUACAAGGAAAGAUCAGAAUAGUGAAGAAAAUCAUUGCAGCAGAGAUGAUGGAAACAUUGGCUGGAUUGAAAAGAUGCUAAAGGAAUUUCAGAAUAACCAAAUUGCGCUCAAGAAUCAUACAUUUAUUUCAAUGUAGGGCCAGUGCAGCAUGUGGGGAAGCAAGGAGAGGAAGUUAGAGGCUCAGAGGACCAGCAAGUAGGAGAUCAGAGUUUUCCAAUGAAGAUUUUACUCUGAGCUGGAAAUGAGUUGCCCUUUGGGUUCCAGUACAAUCUGUGCCAUUUAUCUGCCAGUCUCUCAAAGACUAGGCUUCCAUUGGUAAGAAUGGAGAGGUUGUGGAAGUAGACGAGGAGCAGUGUCUGCCUCACUACUAUUAUUCCUGUUUUACUGAUGAGGAAACAGCUUUGGAGAAGCUACAAGAUCUACUCAAGGCCAUGCACCCGGGCAGUGAAAGAGCCAGACCUUGCCUCCAGGUCCUCCAUCUGUGCAGAUGCCUGUGUGAGGUGGUACAAUGAGCAGGAGCACAGAAGAACCAGGGGAGUUUCAGCAGAGAACAAAGAUAAAGGUUUCUGUAAAAUAUUUGCAAAUCAUGUAUCUGAUAAGGGCUCAGAUUGCUACAAUUCAACAAUAAAAUGAUAACCCAAUUUAAAAACAAGCAAAGGAUUUGAAUGGACAUUCCUUCAAAGAAGAAAAUCACCUUGGGCUUCCAAAUACAGAAAAAAUGGUGGGGAGUAAGCAUCAAUGAGAACUGUCAACUUAACAAGCAGCAGUCAGAAACUUCAACCAAAAUCUACUUUCCUCGAAUGAAAUCAGUAAACAUGAUGACAGCUCAUGGUAUACAAGGUUCCAUCCUGGAGGCUGAGGGGGAGUUAAGGAGUGUAGGUUUGACACUGUAGCUCGAAACAAGUAAGAGCCAACUCAAAUAAGAAUACAGAAGCCAAAGAGCAGACCACCACAAGAUGCCCUAAACAGCAUGCAGUGACUGCUGAGCAAGGAGUAGAAACAUGAACCUCCUGAUUUUUCUGACCAGGAAAUGAUAAUACCUCAGUUUUCCUCCCCCUGCCUCAUCAGGAGUUCUGCUCCCACAUUUCCAUUAUGUUUCUUCUUGCUGUACAAAACAGAAAAUGCCAUACUCUUUCUUCCAUUCCUGUACCCCUUCCUUCCUGCAUGUCUCCUUUCAUUCCUCCUUCCCUUUCUCAUGCUCUGUUCUUCCUCAUCAACAGGCAUCUAGAAGCACAGAUCUCCACUUUCUGUGUCCAGGGGAACAUGAACUCAUAGAAUGUAAAAAUCAAACUGCCUGAAGAGCAUCAAAUCCAGCUUUUGUUAAAGUGAGGAAGGGAAGGGCCCCAGAAUGGGGAAUCAAAGUCCUCACUCAGCACAUACACCCAAUUCUGGGCAUCUGGACACUCCUGUGGCCCUCUGCAACUUCUCUCUGAGAUCACCAAUGUCCUCAUGGCCACCUUAUGGUUCCCUUAGAGGCUCCAGGACAAUGGGUUUUCCUGCUUAUCCUCCUACUUCUCUGACUUCUCUGUUACGUUCAAGACAAGAUAUUUGGCUUGAUACCUUGUCUUGAACAUAACCAGCCUUGGCCCCUUCUCUGUUCCCAUGUGAGCCUUUCCUGGCAAUAAAUGUACUAGAGUAAGUAUGGUGUCCUAGUUCAAUAACCUUCUCUUCAGGCAAGGUCUCCAUUUCCUUUCUGAACUCCCAGUUGGACUGAGGAUUAAAUGAGAUAGAAUGUGUUGGCAAGUACUGACAAAAGUGACAACAAAUUUAAAAAUCUCUUAAAUGAAACUAGAUAUCUUUUCUUUACCUCCAGAUAUAAAUGGAACUAACACACUUUAGUAGUAACAGACUUCAUCUCCUGUGGAACUAUCUCUCAGAGUUAUGCUCCUAUCAAUUAGGAGUAUUUUCAGAAUACAGAAUAGAAACCUCAGUUUACAGGGGACUUAUUAGAUACGAUUGAUUUUUUUGGUAUGACAAGAAGAUCAGAGGUAGGCUCUUAUAAUAAUCAGUUCAACUCAACCAAUUGUGGACCUCGUUUCCAUCUUUCUGUGUGAUGGCCUUUUCCCCUUAGGUUGCAAAGGGUUCCCCUCAUGGACGCAAGAUGUUUGCCACAGCCCCAGGCAUCCCCUUUGCACCUAAAACAAGGUAGAAGAAGGAAGGGGCAGUGCAAAUAGUAUCUAUUCUUUCAGUUAAAAUCACAGUCCUUCCCAAUAGCCUUCAAGAGGCUCUUGCUUACAUCCUUUUGGCCAGAACUAUGUCAUGUGGCCCUCUACAGUUAAAAAAUAUUCAGAUCAUGACAUUCCGUAUGUCUCUAGCUUUAACAAAACAGAGUGUUUAUUGGAACAGAAGCUUAAAUUUUGUAGAUAUGGUAUCUGUUCAUACUUUAACAUAAAGUGUUCAUAACACA